rnacentral:rRNA from 1 species
UACAGAGGUGGCAAGCGUUGUUCGGAAUUACCGUGGCGUAAAGGGUUUGUAGGUGGCUUGUUAAGUCAGACGUGAAAUCCCUCAGCUUAACUGGGGAACUGCGUCUGAUACUGGCUGUCUUGAGUUCGGGAGAGGUGAGUGGAAUGCCGAGUGUAGAGGUGAAAUUCGUAGAUAUUCGGCGGAACACCAGUGGCGAAGGCGACUCACUGGCCCGAUACUGACGCUGAGGCGCGAAAGCCCAGGGGAGCGGAACGGG